AUGGCUAAUUAUUCUCAAUGGCACACCGAACGAUCUACUAGUAAAAAAGUGCAUGCUAUAGAAGAAAUCAAUGUUUUGAGUGGAAAGAUGGAUGAGCUUAUGCGAUUGUUUUCUACUAAAAAUACUCCUCUUGAUCCCAAUGAUAUGCCUUUGUCUACCUUGAUUGAGAAUAAUAAUGAAUCUAUGGAUGUGAAUUUUGUUGGUAGGAAUAGUUUUGGAAACAAUGCUUAUAGAGGAAACAUUAAUUCUAGACCGUUCCCUAGUAAUUCCUCUAAUAAUUAUGGAAAUUCCUACAAUAAUUCUUAUGGUAAUUUUAAUAAGAUGCCCUCUGAUUUUGAGAAUAGUGUGAAAGAAUUUAUGAUUUCUCAAAAGAAUUUUAAUGCUUUGCUUGAAGAAAAAUUGCUCAAAGUUGAUGAUUUGGCUAGGAACGUUGAUAGACUUUCGCUUGAUGUUGAUUCUCUCAAACUUAGAUCUUCUCCUCCUAAGCAUGAUAUCAAUGAGUCCCUCAAAGCAAUGAGAAUUUCCAUUGAUGAGUGUAAGGAAAGAACCGCUAGAUUGCGUGCUAAGAAAGAAAGCUUUAUAAAAGCGUGUUCUUCUAGUUUCCAUGAAAAUAAUGAUGAAGAUCUUAAAGUUAUUGAUGCUUAUCCUAUUAGAUCUAUGUUUUGCAAUCUGAAUUUUGAUGAUUAUGGGACUAUGAUGAAUCAAGUUUGCCUAGAAGGCGUCCCAAAAAUUCGGAGUCUUUAG
rnacentral:rRNA from 1 species